rnacentral:rRNA from 1 species
GAGUUUGAUCUUGGCUCAGAUUGAACGCUGGCGGCAUGCCUUACACAUGCAAGUCGAACGGCAGCACGGGAGCUUGCUCCUGGUGGCGAGUGGCGAACGGGUGAGUAAUGCAUCGGAACGUAUCCUGGAGUGGGGGAUAACGUAGCGAAAGUUACGCUAAUACCGCAUAUUCUGUGAGCAGGAAAGCGGGGGACCUUCGGGCCUCGCGCUCUUGGAGCGGCCGAUGUCGGAUUAGCUAGUUGGUGAGGUAAAGGCUCACCAAGGCGACGAUCCGUAGCAGGUCUGAGAGGAUGAUCUGCCACACUGGAACUGAGACACGGUCCAGACUCC